UCAUGCCUUUGCUUGCCACCCAGCUUAGCCUCUUAUCUCAGCUUCUGAAACAUUCUUCAGUCUUCUGAAGGUGGCAGCUGUUAAUACAGAACUUGAUGAGGAAGAUGCCAGCAUCUCACCUGGAAUUCACAAAACCCUAGCCAGCCCUAACUCACAAGGGCCUGCACACCCUUUAAUCCAGCAAAAUUAACUCAAGAGCAUGUGGGACCUGAAAUCCAGUCUCUGCAUAUUAUUGCAAGUGCUUCAAGCAAAGAAAAGAACCUGAUUUCACAUUUGAGAUGCAUUUUAAACCAAAGGUCUGUUCUGGUACCUCCACAAGGAAGCAUCAAUCGGACCACAGAAAAUUUACAUCCAGGGAUUUGUCUUCUGGAAUGGAUCUCACUGACCUACAAGAAUUGAAUUUGCCCGUGUCUUCACAACACCUUGUUAGUGGUAUCAAAUCAGGAGAUUGAAGUGAGCCAUAGUGAGAGUAUGGACACCACAGAAAUCAACUUACAUAUCAAGGCUUUUUCUUUAUGGGAUAGAAGAGUCUAUGAAGUACAGAAAAGAGGAAAGAUCUGCAAACAAUUCGGUAUCUUCUUUUAACUUGAAACUCAUUCUACCCACUGCUACAGCUAGUCAGAUUUGAAACAAUGCAAGGAGGGAAGGAGACAGAGAGAGGGAGCAGGAGCAAGAAGGAGAGAGAGGGAGAGAGAGACACACACAGAGGCAGAGAGAGACAGAGAAC
rnacentral:lncRNA from 1 species